rfam:Brassica rapa chromosome A6, whole genome shotgun sequence.
GGCCCAUUAGCUCAGUUGGUUAGAGCGUCGUGCUAAUAACGCGAAGGUCACAGGUUCGAUCCCUGUAUGGGCCA